GCCUUUUCUCCUAUUUUUUCUCUUUUUUUAAUAAACUGUUUUUACCUGCCAAAAUUGUAGAUUCCUCUAGGGUUGUCGAAAUUCUGAAUUGAUCAACACUCUAUAUAGCUAGAAGAGGGAAUUGUUUUGGGUGGAAAUUCAGCAGCAACUCUCUCUAUGUUGUUCACCAUUGCUUCCUUUUUCAGUUCCGUAUAGUUUUCGGCACAUAAUUGGAGAAAAAGUUCAGAAAUGAAGAUGCAUUUCUGCCACUGUAGUAUGCAGCCCUCUGCCAUUACUCGGUGAGAAUUGCUUUUCGUGCCACUGUAGCAUGCAGCCCUAUGCCAAAACAGCUACGCAAGCUGCACACUCCAGUGAGACAGCUUUGAACAUUCUAUUUGGUCAACUAUCUAAGCAAAAUUCAAAAUAAAAAAUUUCAGAUUCAGGAACUCCAACCCUUGCGGCAUACUCAGGUUGGAGGCUUCCCCGCUGAGUCAAUGGCAGAUUCCAUAUCGCGCGUGGAAUAUCAGACUUGUAGGGGAUACCACUUAACUCAGAAGUAAUACACAGAUCAAAAUUUAAAAGUUACAGACAGGUUAUAUGUUUUCAGAAAGUGCGCAUGUGUUUUUAGAAGCUAUUUUAUACGUGAUGUGUUGAUGAAAAUUGCUCUCAUCUAUUAUAUAUAUGUUCAAAUACUUUAUUUUGGAUUGCU